GUCAAGAUGGCCGAGUUGGUCUAAGGCGCCAGUUUCAGGUACUGGUCCGAAAGGGCGCGGGUUCAAAGCCCACUCUUUACA
rnacentral:tRNA from 1 species